UCGUUUCAAUUCAUGGUUCUGCGUGUGUUGCAGAGCGAUUCACCGCCAGAACAACAGGCGGAGUGACGACCUAGAGAGUCACGUCUAUUUAUUUAUUUGUUUGUUUGUUUAUUUAUCAUAGACUUUAUUGCCCCGUGCGUCGCCACUGCUGCUUUUCAUCGCGGACACAUUUGUUCCGUAUUUUCCUCCACAACUUGGUAGGAGUGAGGGGAGACUAAGUAGGAGUGAGGAGAGACUAUGGUAGGAGUGAGGGGAGACUAUGGUAGGAGUGAGGAGAGAGACUGGUAGGAGUGAGGAGAGACUAUGGUAGGAGUGAGGAGAGACUAAGUAGGAGUGAGGGGAGACUAAGUAGGAGUGAGGGGAGACAAAGUAGGAGUGAGGAGAGACUAAGUAGGAGUGAGGAGAGACUAUGGUAGGAGUGAGGAAAGACUAAGUAGGAGUGAGGAGAGACUAUGGUAGGAGUGAGGAGAGACUAAGGUAGGAGUGAGGGGAGACUAAGUAGGAGUGAGGGGAGACUAAGUAGGAGUGAGGAGAGACUAUGGUAGGAGUGAGGAGAGACUAAGUAGGAGUGAGGAGAGACUAAGUAGGAGUGAGGAGAGACUAUGGUAGGAGUGAGGAGAGACUAAGUAGGAGUGAGGAGAGACUAUGGUAGGAGUGAGGAGAGACUAUGGUAGGAGUGAGGAGAGACUAUGUAGGAGUGAGGAGAGACUAAGUAGGAGUGAGGAGAGACUAUGGUAGGAGUGAGGAGAGACUAAGUAGGAGUGAGGAGAGACUAUGGUAGGAGUGAGGGGAGACUAAGUAGGAGUGAGGGGAGACUAAGUAGGAGUGAGGAGAGACUAUGGUAGGAGUGAGGAGAGACUAUGGUAGGAGUGAGGGGAGACUAAGUAGGAGUGAGGAGAGACUAUGGUAGGAGUGAGGAGAGACUAUGGUAGGAGUGAGGGGAGACUAAGUAGGAGUGAGGUUUAACGGUGCUGCCCGGUGACUUGAAAUCAACCCUGCACUGUUUGUCAAAAGAGUGCGUUGCCCUUACACACCUCACUAAAUCUCUACAAUACUGAGGCCAUUGCCUCACAAGCCCCCCCCCGUCCCUACUCCGGAUGACAUGCACUUUCACGCACAAACGCACACACACACACAGGCCGGGCUCCUCUCUCCGCCGUAAAGCACUGAAUGACUGCUCCGUCCUUGAACGUAAAAGUAUUAGGGAGACAGACAAGGUGUAGGAGGAGGAGGGGGAAGGGGGGGGGAGGCAGGAGACGGAAAACAGGGUAAAAAAAAGGGCUGUUUCAUACUGACAGUCCGCUUAAUGAAAAUGCAGUUACGGCUCAUAUAUCUGCAGGCACCAAGGUUCACCCCCCCCACGUCGCACCAGGCCCGGUGCGUUUGGCUGAGGAGACCGCAGGUCAACCAAGGCUAAUCAGCGCCGCGCCGGGCUAACGGAGGGGGUUCGGGUGGAGCGGCGUCGGCCUUGAGUGCGGUUCAAUCGGGCCCAUCAAUCCACACCGGCAGACAGGAAGGACGAGACAUCAGUUACCCGAGCGACAGGCCGCAGAAGGAGCACUCCCUCGCUCCUUACGGUCUCCCUCUGCAGCUCCAGAUCUACAAUCCGCCCCCCCAACACCUCCUCCAGCAAGUGAAGCCCCGCAGAGCACAGCGGCUAAUCAGAAGCUAACGAACACAUCAAGGAGGUGACUAAAGAAACACCUUCUGCUCAACCUGCACAUUCAAGGCCGCUGCAGUCUGAGGGAGCGAUGCGCUCGGCGAGCUUCUUGUUGACAGUCAGACCAAAACAGACGUCCUGCGCACAAGGGAGCCUCUGCCCACAGAAGAGAAAACCCGCUUAUAGGCCAAGAAAGUUAUCGGUGUGUGCGAGGGCAAUCGAAGCAGAGAGGGAUCUAGCGUGCGAGCACCAAGACAUGAGGCAAGAGGUUUAAAUCAGUGAAAGCGUGCAUGUGUGUGAGGGUGGGAAGGUCGUAACGUGUGGUUUGAGGGGUAAUUAGCUCAUGCAGCGGCCGGUCAAAUCAAAUCAAGUUGAAUUUACAUUGCUUCUCUUUGGCCUUCAAACCCCAAGGCCUGAAUCAUUACAUCGAU
ensembl:lncRNA